AAAAUUAAUGAACUAAAAAAAGGCAAUAAACAAUGAUUAACCUGGAAAAGCCAAGAAAUGAAAAAGAACAUAACCAAGUGGGUCAAACAGGAAACAAAUAACAAAGUGGUAUAUAUAAACUUAAUUAUAUCAAUAAUUGGAUUAAUACAAAUGGACCAAAUAUUCUAAAGAGUAUCCUGUGAAUAAUAAUUUUGAAACGCAACACAGUGUAAAGUUUUGACCACAGAUUCUAAGUCUGGGCUCAAAUCUUAGCCCUAAAACUUAUUAACUAACUAUGUGACAAGUCCCAAGUAUUGUCUGUGCCUCAGUUUCCAUAUCUGUAAAAUGAGAGCAAUAAGAGAAACCACUUCAUAGGACUAUAGAACUGUUGUGAGAACUGAGUUUUAUAUAUAUCUUAUAUAACUAUAACAAUAUAUAUCUUAGAACCAUGCUUGCCAUAUAACAAGUUCUAUAUAAGUUUUAGCCACUAUUAUUAAACCUCACAGGAAACUGGUAAAUAACCCAUUUCACAGAGGAUUAAGUUAAGGCAACAGUGAUAGCACAACUUGCCCAAAAUUACCCAGCUGAGGUAUCACUCCAAAGUGGUAGAGGUAUGUAAAUACCUCUACGUAAUUAGUUAAUCCAAAACUCGUGCUCCAUGAGAGCAGGAAACAUAUUUGUUUGCUCAUCACAACAUAUUCAGUGCCAAGCAGAGACGUUGCUCUAUAAAUAUUUGUUGAAUGGAUGAGUGACUCAUUAUAAAAUUCUAUUUCAGGUACUCUCUUAACCAGCAACACAGAAUACUAAUAUUAGUACUAAGUCCCUGCUCGAGAAAGGAAUUGCAAGCACCAGUGUUCAUUUCCAACUACAACCACAUUAGAAGGGAAUAUUUGUGGGAAAACAUUUUAUCAUUAGGUAAAGUCAUCCACAAAAUAACAAUGCUUUAGUCCAAGACAGACUUCAUGUGAUCAUGAGUCCAUAAGAUUAGAAUGGAGCUGAAAACUUCCUAGUGCCUGGUGACAUCAUAACCCUCAUGAUGUCAUAGCACAACAAUUCCACAUUUGUGGUAAUGCUAGUAUAAACAAACCUACUGCACUGCCAGUGGUAUAAAAGAAUAGCACAUACAGUUAUGCCCGGUUCAUAAUACUUGAUAUCAUGAACAACUAUGUUCCUGGUUUAUGUAUUUACUAUACUAGAAUUUUUGUUGUUAUUUUAGAGUACUCUUUCUGUUUACAUUUUUUUUUUUAAAAAAGUUACUGUAAAACAGUAUGUUCUGCUAUGCUGGCAAGAGCCUUAUUCAUCUUGUCUCCAUGGAGUCUCUUGAUGGCAUCAAGAAGCCACAUAGAGUGAUUGACCCAUGCUGUCUAGGUUUGUGUAAGUUCACUCUAUAAUGUUUGCACAAUAAGCAAAUUGCCUAAUGACACACUUCUCAGAAAUUAUUUUGUUAAUGGACACAUGACUGUUAAUAUUAGAAAUAAUUGUAUUUAUUCAUCACAUAUUAUUGGCCAAUAGUUGGUUAAGUACUUCAUCUCCAUGAUCUCAUUUUAUUCUCAAAAAUCACUCUGGGAGGUUAAGAAUUGUUAUCAUUCCUAAUUUUAAGAUGAGAACAUAAGCCUUGGAUCAUAAUCAGGAAGCAAGUUAGUGUAAGAACAAUCAAAAGAAAUGAAAUAGUAGAAAGAAAGUAGAAAUAACCAGAAUCUAAGCCACUGAAUUUACCAACUUUGAAAACACCCUACCUAGGACUUGUACUGUGAAAUAAUAAAUUUUCUUUAUUGUUGAUGCUAGUUGAGUGAGGGAUCAUGUCACUUGUACCCAAAGGCAUCAUCAUUAACAUAUGCAUAAAUGCAAAAGAUCAGAGAAGAUAAGAGAAUAGAUUCUAAUGUAAAAUGAGGAAGUCUGUCUUCAGGUUGUUUAGUAGAGGAUUUGGCAGUGGUGGUGAGGCAGUGUUGGGAGAAGGAAUCAGAUCAGGCUCUACUCUUUCUGUGAUCUCAAGCAAGUUUUAACAUCUCUGGUACUCCAUUUCAUCAUCUAUAUAUUCUUUAAGGUGAAUGGGAUAAUCUGAGCCAUUAUCAGACUCCAUUUUCAGAAAUGGGGCAGCUAAAAAACAA
rnacentral:lncRNA from 1 species